rnacentral:lncRNA from 1 species
CAGUCUCUCGGAGGUGGAGGGGGCGGUGGAGGUGGAGGUGGAGGAGGAGGAGGAGGAGGCGGCGGCGGCGGAGGUGGCGGCGGUGGAGGCGGUGGUGGUGGUGGUACUGGAGGAGGAGGUGGGGGUGGAGGAAACUAGAUUGCCUUGUUGCUCAUCACUUGUCUCUGUUUCAAUCGUUUCAAUCAUUCUGGGAUGGUGGAGGUAGCCGUAUCUAUGUUCAUGUUUAUGGCCAAGCCAUGCAUGUUUAUGCAUGCAUGUGUGUAGUGCAAAGAUGAAUAAGGACGUCGAGCUAAAUCUAUGCAACCCUCGACGUGGUGUGAUUGUAUUUUGUAUUUGAAUCUUGUGAAGCAUGUGUGUGUGUGUCAUGUACUCAGUUAUAUUAUGUGGUGCUCUCACAUUACAUAUGAUAUGUCCUCCUGUGCUUGGGCUGCUGGCCGCUACAGAUAUUCAUCAUCCAAAUUUUUGCUUGACUUGACUAUACAUUAGUCUAGAUUUUUCUUCCACAUAUGGCGCAAAAAUGUAUCAUCUCGAGCUAUCUCCCUCCGCUACUUUGUUGCAACCUGCAACCAUGGGGCACAGGGUGGCUGAUUUUGCUGAAAUAUGUAACUUCUAUAAGCACUGAAGAUAGAGAUUCAAACAUUCUGGCCGCAUAUCUGUCCUCCCGGUUCAUAAUGUCCCAUUCUUCAUUCCAAUGCC